CAGGCACUAGGUCACUGAUUGCCACUCCCAGUACAUGGUACCUGUCCUGCUCUUGGAAGAACACAGAUACAUUAGACACUUCAACAAAUCCUCCUGUCUGUCCAGCAUGGAACAAUGCUGCAGCUCCGUGUUCCAGAAGAAAAAG